UGUAUUGAAGAAUCACUCUAGCUCUUCUAGUAAUAAUCUCAGUAGAACUGACCCUAGUCAGGGAGAAUCACUCAUCAUUGACCAAUGUGUUUGUUUCAGUCAGCUUUUUCGCUGCCAUGACUAAAAGACUUGACCAGAACAAUUGCAGAGAAAAAAAAGUGUAUUUGAGGGCUCAUGGUUUCAGAGGUCCAAGUUCAUAGAUAGCUUGCUUCAUUCCUCCGGGCUGGAGGUAAAGCAGAACAACAUGGUGAAAGAAUGUGGCAGAGGGAAGUGGCUCACGUAUUGAUCAGUAAGCAGAGAAAGACUCCACUUUCAAUAUACAUACCCCAAAGGCAUAUCCCCAAUGACCCACCUCCUCCAGCCACACCCUAUCUUCCUCCACCACCCAGUUAAUCCCAUCAGAUGACUUCACUGAUUGGAUUAAGUCUGUCAGGAUCUGAUCGUUUUUUUUUUUCUCAACCUUUUGUGUUAUCUCUCACAUGAGCUUUUUUUUUAAAAAAAAUAUAUUUAUUUUUUUUAGUUAUACAUGGUCACAAUAUCUUUAUUUUUAUGUGGUGCUGAGGAUGGAACCCAGUGCUUCAUGCAUGCUAGGUGAGAAUUCUACCACUGAGUCACAGACCCAGCCCUCACACAUGAGCUUUUAGAGGACACUUCAUAUCCAAGCCAUAACAGUGUUGAGCUCCAUAGUGAUUGGUUCAAGGAGGGUAUUUGAGCUAAGUAGAUCAAUCAAGAUGAAUGAACAUUAAACUCAUAAUUUUGGCCAGGAUAAUAAGAAAAGAGGGGAAAAACAUUAAAGUUUUAUCUUCCAGGUUAACAUACAAGUCUUUACAUUCUGGGAGCACUGCUGUGGAAAGAAUGUGCUUGAGAGAAACCAAUUCAGAGAAAAGCAAAAGGCAGAGUAAAGUGUAAUUAAGACCUUGGAUUCAACUGUGCCUAAAAUUCUAUUCUUGGACCUUUUCAUUUUCUCUCCAUCACGUAUGUAUCAGUCAAGUUCCAUUAGGCAAAAAAGAAACCAUACUAGGUGAUUUAAUACAGUAUUUAAGAUUGACCCCAGGGCCUGUGCAUGUGAGGCAAGCAUUCUACCAACUGAGCUAUAUCCCUAGCUCUGGAUACAGCUAUCUUUCAGAAGACUUCUUUGCCCUCUACUUCUUCCUUCCUGCCAAAAAAGACUCAACUUUGCCAAAAGAAUUCUGAGAUCAUAAUAUAUAUCAAGGAAUGUGAAGGACAGUGACGUUGUGUGAGAAGAUGUAGAUGAAAGUAAAUAUGACUGUGGCUCUCACAGCCUAUGAGCUCUCAGCCUUGUGGGCAAAGGUAAACUCGUAAUGUCAUGGAAGAAAUGGACAAGUAACCAGAUGAUUAUAAUUCAGUGUGAAAAGUCCUAUUAUGGAAGUGAGUGUGGGGAGUGAUGAUCCUUCUAUACAUUCUAUAGAUGAAGAAUCUGUCUCGAAUGUUAAUGGAUUUGCCCAACAUCAUGGAUAGAAAUCCUGCUAUAAGAGUGGGUUGAGGAAGGGCUGUCAAAGUGACUUGGUGCCAGCCUGUCCAUGGGAGCCUGGACAUAACAAAGAAGGUGGAAUGAAGAUCAGCAUCUUAGUGCCAUGCUAGAUGACAAGAGGAGAGAAAAAUAGUACAGAAACCCCAAGAAGUGUCAUUGGGUUAAAAAGUUACAGACACUAAAGUUCCACUUGGUGUGGGUCACACACUGCUAUCCUGGGAUUCAAAGUACCAGAACUUUGUUUUGAAACCACCAAGAAGUCCAUCUUGAAGGGGAAACUAUUAAAAUCUCUUGUCUCUUAGACAUGAUGAUUCAUCUCCAAGUCAUUUUAUACUUCUGAAAUUGUCAGUGAUAUAAUGGAAGCAAAGUUUUUUUCCCUGAAAAUAAGACAUAAGCUGUUUGUUUCUUGCAAAGGAAGUGAAGAAUGAGGAAACCAUCUGGCAUUUGCUCAAAAUAUCUAGAUAAUUGAGGCCAAAGUAUCUUUUAGCUUAAUUUUAUAUCAAUGAGUGUCCUUCAUGCCUCUUUCCACAUUUGCUGUGUAGAGAGCAUCAAAAGGAAAGAGGCUGAAAUUUAUCAACAAGAAUUUUAAAAUACAAUAGUUAUUAAUAUUGUUGGGUUGCACUCUCCAUUAUCCCUAGAAAUUUUGUUAUUCUUGAAUUUAAUACAUGUGUGCAGGUAUAUAUAUUAAUUGAAGAGAUAUUCUUGAAGAAUCUUUGUAGAUUAAAACUCCUACCUUUAUUGAAAAUUUCACGGCAUUGAUCAGAUAUUUUCUACAGGUGAUGUGAUCUCUCUGUUAUCUCUCAAAAAUUUGCAUUUCAAAGCUGAUUGAUGGACUAUGUGAGAUGAAGUCGAUGUCCUUUUUCUACAACAGAGAUGUAGGUUGGAUCUCUGCUGAAAAAGUAUUAUUUACUGUCAAGGUUAUUUCAUAAAUUUAGUCUUCUAUUUCUAACUUAGUAUUAUAUGUUUUGUACCACCCCUUAAAGCUCUGUUAUUAAAGCUCACGUUUCUGGGAAAAUAUAGUCAUAUUUAAAAGGCAUUUAGUA